rnacentral:rRNA from 1 species
UACGAAGGGGGCUAGCGUUGCUCGGAAUCACUGGGCGUAAAGCGCACGUAGGCGGAUUGCUAAGUCAGGGGUGAAAUCCUGGAGCUCAACUCCAGAACUGCCUUUGAUACUGGCGACCUUGAGUCCGGGAGAGGUGAGUGGAACUGCGAGUGUAGAGGUGAAAUUCGUAGAUAUUCGCAAGAACACCGGUGGCGAAGGCGGGUCUCUGGGCCGAUACUGACGCUGAGGAGCGAAAGCGUGGGGAGCAAACAGG